UUGCCCAGACUGGAGUGCAAUGGCACGAUCUCGACUCACUGCAACCUCUGCCUCCUGGGUUCAAGCAAUUCUCCUGUCUCAGCCUCCCAAGUAGCUGGAAUUACAGGCGUGUGCUACCAUGCCCAGCAAUUUUUUUUUUUUUUUUUUCAGUAGAGAUGGAGUUUCACCAGGCCAGGCUGAUCUCGAACUCCUGACCUCAGGUGAUCCACCCGCCUCAGCCUCCCAAAGUGAUAGGAUUAUGAUUACAGGCGUGAGCCACUGCGCCCUGCCUGGGCUGUGGUCUUUAACUGGCUGAGAGCCUUCAGAUGAGAACACUCUGAGCCUCAGUCUCCUUCAAUGGAGGCACUGGACAGCAGGAAGUCAGAGAAGACUUUCAGUGCUAACUGCUCAGUUUUUAUCAAAGCAACUGUGAAUUGUAGAAAGGGGAAAAUUAGCUCUGAAGUAUUUAAGAGGAAAAUGGGGAAUUUUCUUGGAAUUGAUUGAACAUGUUUUAAGACAUCACAAGGAUGCCUCCAAACCUGCUUGACUAUGAACAAUGACUUGUUCUCCUCCAAGGACUAGAUAUGGAGUCUUAUGCUGACCAGGCUGGUCUUGAACUCCUGACCUCCAGUGAUCCUCCAUCUCAGCCUCCCAAAGCCCUGGAAUUACAGGCAAGGUUAUUGAAGAUCACACAGGCUGAAGAAGGGCUGCUGAAUUCUUCAAUAUGAACCAUCCCUUUGAUAAGAAACUGAGUGGGCCUGGUUCUUCUCAUCCCAGGAGAGCUCUGGUGUGCUUCCUGGCAUAUAAGUGAGUGGGAAAGGCUCUGCCAGUCCCCAGUCCCCCACCCCUCUUGCCACUCAGCCUCAAUCUGUCAACCAGGCCAGCUAGCCCGUCUAUUAAUGCUGACAUUGAUUUGGAUCAAUCAAGAUCCCAUAAUUACUGGGAGUUUUAAUCAACUCAUGCCAAUUCAGCUGCCGCUCAAUUUGUGCUGGACUUCGGUGCUCACAAGGAGGGAAGCGGCGAGGGUGGGGUGGGGCGGGGGGAGGGCAUGCAAAAAGGAUUACAGGGAUCAAUAGUCCUUGGUAAUGAAGGACAGCAGCUGCAGGCACCACCAGGGGGCCUGAGACUUCAGAGUGGAGGAGACAGAGCCUGCCCCCAUCCCCCAGGAGAGCUCCCUGGCAGAGAAUGAAAACCACGCCCCUGCUUCACCUCUGCCUACACCUGGAUCUGGAAACCACUUAGGCACUACCAGGCAGCACCUGUUCUCUGCAGGGUCCAACCCUCAGUAUCUCUCUCCACAUUUUGCCCUCAGCCAGGCCUGGCCUCCUCUUCCUGAAGAAUCUUAUGUAUCCUUCAGAGCCAGCAAUCCCAUUACUGGGUAUACAUCCAAAAGAAAAUAAAUCGUUCUACC
rnacentral:lncRNA from 10 species